CUGCCGAGGACGACCGGUCCGCCCUCUGGGUGAGUAUCUGGCUCGGCCUGGGCAUCUUCUUGGAGAACGUAGCUGCACUUGACUGUGUGGUGCGGUAUCCAGGACUUUUACUUUGAGGAAAUUAGAGUGUUUCAAGCAGGCUUACGCCUUGAAUACAUUAGCCUGGAAUAAUAAGAUAGGACCUCGGUUCUAUUUUGUUGGUUUCUAGAGCUGAGGUAAUGAUUAAUAGGGAUAGUUGGGGG
rnacentral:rRNA from 1 species